CCUCUCCAGACCGCUCACCUCAGUUUCCUUCCAUUGUACAACCAGGGCAGUAAGCAUAAUUUUGCCUUAACUAUCUAUUCUAGACUCAAGUCUGGCCACAUAGCACUAAUGGACAAGCCAUACAUUUGGAGAGACUCCAAGAAAUCCAUCCCAAGCCCUGAAUGGUCCUGGCCCCAUUCCAGAAUUUUACAAACUUUCCACAAAUUGUGAUUCCAGACACGUUCAUACCUUGGCCCCCAGGAUAAUGGAAGCCACAAAAGAGACAGAAAUUAAAAUGUCAGCCCAGCUGGGUCCACAUUGUAGGCCAGUAAUUACAGUGGAACCCUUUGCCUCUUCGAUCACCUGAGUGGAGCACAUCUGUGCCUCCUGCAAAAAAGGAUAACAGAGUAAUUCAGAGCAGUUUUUUUUUUUUUUAAAGAUAUCCCUUAACUCAGUGUAAGUAGAGUGCGCUACUUAACAAUGGCAACUAAGGUUUUAAUAAGCCACAGGAAAACUUUUAAAAGCGAGGUGAGAAGCAGAGAUCAGCCUUCUGAUGAGCUUUGUAAUUCAGUGACCACUGUCAUCACUCAAGACCUAAAUUACCUGAAAUGUGUCAUCAAGGCCUCAGCAGCAAGUAAAAGAAAGCGUUGUUAUUCUCUGCCUGAGAAAAGAGUUACUGCCCAAACCUUUCAGCUACAGCAGAUUCUGAAGGACGAUUUGUAUGCCACGUCACUACGGAUAGGGAAAAGGAUGUCCACAGCCAAGGUGACAUCUGAGAGGUCAUAUACUUUGUGGGAUCAUGAUAGAAGUUCAAAACAUCAGCCUGAGAAAGGCACGCGGGGUCCUACACGGGUAGGUGCUCCUCUGUGUAGCAGAGAGCCGCCUUCCCGGGGCCACUGGGCUUUGUUCACUCACCAUCCCAGCUGGUCCUGUCAGCGGAGCGUGUCCUGUCUUUGCUCUGGUGAGAAGUAAGUGGAGUUCUGAGGUCCUCUACACUGAAGCCGACACUGGAGAAACUGGCGGGGUGGGGAGAGAAAGGGAAAGGGAGAUCGCAGGGGAUAGAGAGUCCUGAUGACAUUACUGGAGACAAUAAACUACCCACAACUUAGCUUCCCUGGUGGCUC
rnacentral:lncRNA from 1 species